UACGUAGGGUGCAAGCGUUGUCCGGAAUUAUUGGGCGUAAAGGGCUCGUAGGCGGUCCAUCGCGUCGGGAGUGAAAAGCUGGGGCUCAACCCCAGUCCUGCUUUCGAUACGGGUGGACUAGAGGUAGGCAGGGGAGAACGGAAUUCCUGGUGUAGCGGUGAAAUGCGCAGAUAUCAGGAGGAACACCAGUGGCGAAGGCGGCACUCUGGGCCGGUACUGACGCUGAGGAGCGAAAGCGUGGGGAGCGAACAGG
rnacentral:rRNA from 1 species